rnacentral:rRNA from 1 species
GACGAACGCUGGCGGCGUGCUUAACACAUGCAAGUCGAACAGAAAGGCCCUGCUUUUGUGGGGUGCUCGAGUGGCGAACGUGUGAGUAACACGUGAGUAACCUGCCCUUGACUUUGGGAUAACUUCAGGAAACUGGGGCUAAUACCGGAUAGGAGCUCCUGCUGCAUGGUGGGGGUUGGAAAGUUUCGGCGGUUGGGGAUGGACUCGCGGCUUAUCAGCUUGUUGGUGGGGUAGUGGCUUACCAAGGCUUUGACGGGUAGCCGGCCUGAGAGGGUGACCGGCCACAUUGGGACUGAGAUACGGCCCAGACUCCUACGGGAGGCAGCAGUGGGGAAUAUUGCACAAUGGGCGGAAGCCUGAUGCAGCAACGCCGCGUGCGGGAUGACGGCCUUCGGGUUGUAAACCGCUUUCGCCUGUGACGAAGCGUGAGUGACGGUAAUGGGUAAAGAAGCACCGGCUAACUACGUG